rnacentral:rRNA from 1 species
UACGAGAGGCCCAAACGUUAUUCGGAAUUACUGGGCUUAAAGAGUUCGUAGGCGGCGCAGAAAGUAGGGUGUGAAAGCCCUCGGCUCAACCGAGGAAUUGCGCUCUAAACUACUGUGCUCGAGGAAUCUAGAGGUGAGCGGAACUGAUGGUGGAGCGGUGAAAUGCGUUGAUAUCAUCAGGAACACCGGAGGCGAAGGCGGCUCACUGGGGAUUUUCUGACGCUGAGGAACGAAAGCCAGGGGAGCGAACGGG